rnacentral:lncRNA from 1 species
AGAAGAGGGGGCACCUUUCAGCAACCCCUUUCUACUGAACUGUGGGGAGAAGUACCACCAGUCCUUUGCCAUGGGAUGACGCUUGAAGGUGUAGAGUAUCUAAACAAGGAAAGGGUGGGCCGGACUUCGACUAUAUGACAAAGAGAGAGGAACCCUAUCAAAAACCUAAAGGAGUUCGGUGCAACCAAAGCCAAAGAAAUGUCCAGAAACUGAAAAAGAGGAAUGACAAAAGGCAG